CUCUUGUCGAAAUAAACUUUUUCUAAACACAAGUGCUAACUGAGGGGCGACUAUUGCUAGUUGAAAACUUUUCCCAGUAUACCCCGCCGGGACGACGUGAAAUAUCGUCGGCCUUGGCAAUUUUUGGAAGGCCCUACGGGGC
rnacentral:snRNA from 1 species